CAACCUUCCCAUAACUCUGGGAUAGCCUUUCGAAAGAAAGAUUAAUACCGGAUGGUACUUUUUCAAGGCAUCUUAAGAAAGUUAAAGAUUUAUUGGUUAUGGAUGGGGAUGCGUUCCAUUAGAUAGUUGGUGAGGUAACGGCUCACCAAGUCUUCGAUGGAUAGGGGUUCUGAGAGGAAGGUCCCCCACAUUGGUACUGAGACACGGACCAAACUCCUACGGGAGGCAGCAGUGAGGAAUAUUGGUCAAUGGGCGAGAGCCUGAACCAGCCAAGUAGCGUGAAGGAUGAAGGUCCUAUGGAUUGUAAACUUCUUUUAUAGUAGAAUAAAGUGACCCACGUGUGGGUUUUUGUAUGUAUACUAUGAAUAAGGAUCGGCUAACUCCGUGCCAGCAGCCGCGGUAAUACGGAGGAUCCGAGCGUUAUCCGGAUUUAUUGGGUUUAAAGGGAGCGUAGGCGGACGCUUAAGUCAGUUGUGAAAGUUUGCGGCUCAACCGUAAAAUUGCAGUUGAUACUGGGUGUCUUGAGUACAGUAGAGGCAGGCGGAAUUCGUGGUGUAGCGGUGAAAUGCUUAGAUAUCACGAAGAACUCCGAUUG
rnacentral:rRNA from 1 species